AUAUAUAUAUAUAUAUCAUAUAUAUGAUAACACAUUGGCAUAAGCAACAGGGGGAGCAAAACGUAGCAGAAUGUGAUAGAUUGAUUAUUUUGACGUGUAUUUGUCACAAACAUCCAUGCCUCGUCUCCCGGGCCUGCGUACAGGUUACAUUUUUACAGAGUGCCUCCCUCGUGUCCUCCGUAAAGCUCACACAGGGCCCGCAUGGCCCAAACAAAGCACAGCGAAACAAAAAUGGUAGUUACUGGUAAUGUGCUGCUGGAGUGGUCCCGGUCUGCGCCAACACCUGCAGAUAAGCUCCUACACUGCGUCUGCCUCGCUUAACGCUCCGCCUAAUGAUUGUGACCCGUGUGCGCUGCGGCGCAUUGGCGCGAGGGGUUUACUGGCAGCCGGCAGCCGAUGGUACAAACAACCUGUGAAUGACAGGGGUUCUAAUGAUGCAGUUUAUUAUCUCCCCAAAGCACGGUACGCGCGGGGCUGCAAACAACCAUUUUGACAGCUGCUUCAGUCUAUCUGUCUCUCUGCCUGUCUCGCUGUAUCCCCCGCGCAGCAAUGGCGGUACCUUUGCAUCCUUUAUCAACAGUAUGGUUUUGGCACUUUGCGUCAGGUUCAUCGCUGGUUCCCUCUAAAUGGAGGCUGCAGGUCCAGCGGUCGCCGGGAACGAGAGAGCGACGAGAAGGGAGCGCGCACACGACUACAGAGAGAGAGGGAGAGAGUGAGAAGGGAAAGGGCUUCGGGUUCCAGAGUGUGUGAUAAAAACGGUGUUCCUCUGACGUGGAGAUUACCCGUGUGUUUGUCACCCUGACGGUUGUCAAUAUGUGGCUGCCAGGCCGCAGCGAGAGGCUGUUGCUUGGAACAAUGGCUGCGGAAGAUUGUAUUGGAUUUUUAUCAGGGGACCUCCAGAGUUUCUAAGAGCCCGGCCUCGUGUUGGAGAGCUGUGUGUGUGUGUGUGUGUGUGUGUGUGUGUGCUUGUCUGAGAUUCUAUGUUUGCCUGCACAGCCGGCCUAAUAGCAGGCACAUUACACCUCCAGCCGCUGGGUAAACGCUCUUUUAAAUAGAGGCUCCACACAUCUCCCUCAGACAUCUCGGUGACCGGCUCAAUGCGGAGAUUUGAAAUGUCACAGUUGUGCUUAUUUUUUCACUUUGAUUCUUUUAUUAUUAUUAUGGUCUAUUAGAGGAGAGAUAAUAGCAGCAGGUAGGAGGAUUGGCCAUGUUGGAAGGGGACACAAGGCCUUUGCUUGUUAUCCGAGAAUAAAGUAACAUCUUGUGUCACAAGGCUGCUGUUUGGAGGACAUUAUAAAAUACCUAGAGCUUUAAGAGAAGAUCUCUUGGUCCGCAUUUCAUGCAAAAAGCAUUAUUGGAGCCCCAGACGCUCUAUCGUGCUGGUAAAAGUGCAUGCCAGACAUACCCGCAGCCGGCAUUAUCUCUGAUGUCAUUAGAUUAUGAUGCAAAUUGCAUUAAAAUGGCAUAACCUAAUUAAAUAGUAUCUCAAACUGGCGACAAAGACAAAUGUCAGAGGAAACAAAUACGAGAGCCCCAUCUCCAUAAGACCAUGUUUGCUGAUCCAAUUAUCCCAGCCCUAUUUGGACGACAUGGAGGCACAGCUGAGCGCGCAGGGAGGAAAGGGGAGCACAGAGGUGGAUUUAGAGCUGGUGCUCCAUAAAAGCGGUGCAAGAGUGGGAAAGGGGGCGAAAAAACAGAAAGCCCGUUGCUGUUGUGAAUGCUAAAAUGGAACCCUGGUGAGAACAACUUGGGAAGCCAGCCCCGACUCGACAACGAUUCUGUUAAAAAACUGGUCAGAGUAGAUGCAGCACUCUACACACAGCGCCGUGGGACUGAAGAGAUGGACCUCGUCCCUGUGCCCCAAAUGCUACUGGAAGCCCUGGCAACUGGGAGGCAGUUUGGAUGAGCAUUAUUUAGUCCGGUACAUGCAAACUGCAAAGCCAACACAGUUUUCCCUGCUCCUCGGGGCUCUGUGUUCCUCCGCAGGCUGUGAUCGAUUGGCCGGUGAUCAAUCCCUCCACCACAGAAGACUAGAGGUGAAUGUCCCACGCGGUAACUAGAAACUAGCGAUUAUCCUCUAAUUUCUUUCCCUUUUCUUUUAUGUGAGAGCUGAUUUUCUCUGGCUGUCCUGCUCUUUAUUUCCUAGCACCCCCCGGCCAUCUCCACCCACGUCUUCUUCUGAAACCCUCCCUCCCUUUUCCCAUCUCCCUCCUGGUUUCCACUUUUCUCUUCACUUCAUUCCCCCCGAUUCUCCUUCUCUGCCACCAGCUCUCACCACCACCACCACCACCACCCCCACCCCCACCCCGCCUGCAGCUCCAUCCCUCUCCAGGGUGACGUUGCCAAAGGGGAAUUUCUCUCGCAUUCUGUAAUGAGGGAUCCUGAAUCAAUGGCGUCAACAAUGCACAGCGAUACGUUGUUAUUCUGGUAGGGCUCAGCUAUUACGGUGUUCUUUUCUCCAGAAGGGUGUUUGGGGACGAGUUCCCUUUGCUCUCUCUCUCUCUCUCUUCCUCCCACCCACACAAGAUCCAAUCGUCUGGAGGGAGAAACGGAGCCGACCAUUUAUUGAAAUCUGUUUUUAAAUGACAGAGCUUUGACCUUUUCCGGUGCAUGCGCUCCGCAGCCAUAAAUUCUGACGGAUUUCAUUUUACGUUUCCUCCAAGCAUUCAAAACCAAAUUACACCUGCGCAACCCCUUCGAUCCGCACGGGCACGGACACAGUAUUUUCAUCCCCAUUUAUUUCCGCUUUCAGUCGCCCCUUUGGCACUUUUUUGGGGGCCGAUGAGCGCACUUGAAGUAAAAUAAAGAACAAGAGGACUGUAAUUUGUCCUGGAAAAACACAUGCACAUUUUGACAUCGUCUUCCGAAGGCGGUCCUUUUACCAAGCCUGUCGUCAAUUUCCCAUCUUAAAACAGGGAAGGGAAGAACAUUGGAUAGGUAUAUCUAUUGAUUGUUAACCACCAGAUUCGUGAUGUGCUAGUAAUGUGGACCAAUUUCAAACUGUUGACGGAUGAAGCAGCUAUAUAACCUCUCACACGUGACACGCUCCCCUUCAAGCCUUUUGCCCGUUCUCAGUCACAUCUCCUAAAAAGGGCAUGACAUUAAUAAAUUCAACAUUAAACCCGUACGUAUAAACGUAGCGGUCAGGAUCUGAAAGAAAGCAAUAGUUGUUAACCACGCAGCGCUGUGACAUUCACAUAUGUGGAGACGUCACUGCAGAGGGCACGGAGCGAUCCUGGGGGAGGACAAACACAGGGGCACGUGAUACAGGACUUAUUGAUUUAAAAGGCAUAUCUUUAUCCUUAAAGUAUGAACGAAAGGGAAGGGAACAUCAAGAGCAUGGCUCCAUCACCUUGAACAAUGCUAUCGAGUCUUUGUUUUCCACGGCUCCAAGCAAAGCGCCAACACACACCCGUUUGGUCCACAAACUAUGGCUACAAAACAAAACAAAAAGCUUUUUAUUUUGGACCCCUAAAAUCUAAGGAUUGUUUUGGUACGGAUCAAAGUAUAUGUGUGUUCCAGGGGGCUUUGGUAUUUAAGUGUGCGCAGCGCUGAGUGCUUUCCUCAGCCUGUGCAAAAAGCCCUGAGAUACCAAAUACCACCCCAAAUGCACGCGCACUUCUCCUCCUUUUAUCACCGCACACUCCUUGCUGCGGCUCGGCGUGCUUACCUGUGACAGGAGCGCCUUUCAAACGCACCUCAUUGCAUUUCAAACGCCAGUGACUCCCACUCCCUCGUUUCCAAGACUCCCGCAGAUGUACACGCACGAAGCUGUCAGCUGCCCAAAUAUUGAAUAUCCCCUGGCCUUCUCUCCCACCCCUUUCCUGAACCAACUCCUCCACAGCCUCGAGUUGUUGAGAGAAUGAUAUUUUAUGCAUGCCACAGCAGCCCACACACAGAUACAGCUUAUGAAAGACACGCAGAGCCGACUCUCCAUUUGCGUGCGUGUUUGUGUGUGUGUGUGUGUGUGUGUGUGUAUGCGUGAUGCGCAUGUAUCUGUGCGCAGCUUUUUUACAUGCUAAAUUAAGAUGUACUUAAACGGUGUGCUUGCAUUCUGCUGCAGGAGCGCACAUCGCAUAUAUAGGUAGUUCUGCUGUGUCUUGGGGAUCAAUAUGCAUUAUGUAAAUGCUUCUCUAUGUAAAACUUAGGGGUGGCAAAAAGGCCACACGAGUCAAGUUUUGGCACACAGGCCUCCCACUCCCGAGAGAAUUAAUCACGGCAACAGAUUCAGAUGGAGUCUGCCUCCAUACCUAAGCAUUUUUCAGAGCAGGAGAGGACACAGUACAAUGAAUUUGCAUCUGUUUGAAGUUGUAUUAUUAAUUCAUGCCGAUGAGACUUUGCAAGAGACUGGUUACAAUUGUGUAAGGGGAAUACAAAAAAAUAAAAACGUCCCACUAGGUAAAGGGACUGUUUGAUCUUGCUCUAUGUCUCCUUGCUCUUCUUCUCUGCCUGUGGAAAUGUUCGUCGUCCGAGCAUCUUUGUGUUCAGGGCUACCCGUGUUGACCAAUGCGCGAGCGUGGCACUAUCUUAUUUAAUCAGCGCGUGUAGAGCCUAAAUGACGAGCUAUUAUCACCCGUCCACCGCUCGGCUUCGCAAACAGCCCGGGGCGAAAGGUCAAACACUGGUAAUGGGUCGACAGAAAGAGCAAUUUUUAAUUAGACACACAUUUUGAAUCUGAAUGUGAAAUUAGGGUCGUCGCACACAUGCGCCACCUCUACCUGGCAGCGUCUUCCAGCUGUGUACUUACACUCUUCACUCAGGUUUUUGGUUCAUCUCAACACGUGCCCCAUCGUGCAGGGGGAAGGGGCAGGUGAGCGGGGUCGGGGGAGGGCACAGUUGUGCACUGUGCCGGUCAAUGUUCAGCAGGAUGUGCGCAAGAUUUCAGUUGCAUGUGGAAUCCCACAUACGUGUGUCGUACCGGUGCCAGUGGCGUGUUUGCGCUGGCACAGCCAUUCUCCCUCGGAGAAGCGUUUGGAUGGGGGGGGCGUGUGACAAUGUAGUUGUGGCACAUUAUCAGCAGCAACACAAACAUCUGCUGGCAAGAUCCCAGCAGCUAAAAGGUGUGUGUGUGUGUGUGUGUGUGUGUGUGUGUGUGUGUGUGUGUGUGUGGAGCAGAAGCACAGAGGGGGUUCUUGCCAUGUCUGGAGGUUUGUGCCUUCAAGGAGAAGGGUAAUUACACGAGAGCGCACAGAAGAUAAAACAUAUUAAUGGUAUCUCUGGUCAGAGAGGUGCAGUCCUCGGGGCGUUCCGGAGACACACAUCAAGCGCGCUCUGUUAAUGUCAAUUUAAAUCUUACAACAAAUACCGUAAUUCCACAGUUUCUGCGUGCUCGUAAAGCAGUCAUCGCUUUACAGAAACCAUCUUUUUUUUUGCCGAGUUCCCGAGUUCAGGUCUCAGUGUCAAGCAAGCAUUUACCUUUGUUUAAGUACCCUUGAGGUUCAUUGCCCAAAUCCCCCGGAGGCAGCAUGAAUUCACCCAUCAGGAGACGUCUCUGUCCAUGGUGCUGAAACCCAACAGUGAGACACCCGGCAUGACGCUGCCUCCCAGUCCUAUGUGAUACAUACUGAUUGCAGCUGUGUUUUGGUAUGCAGGGCAUUCCUACGUGAAAAGUGCUGGAAUGAAGUACACUCAAAGCACGCAUGCGAAAUUCACUUGUGUUCGAGUGGGCUGUUGACGGACACCAUUAUCUCACAACGCAAUGCCAAACGGCAUCUUGGGGCAGUAUUGCAGCUGGAAAAAAUUAGAAACGGUUUGUUGAUUGUGGUUGGGCGUCAAGAGAAUCACUUCACCAAUUUAACGCAUAUUGAAUAAGGCCUGUGGCUCUGGAGGUUGAUUCCCACGUCUUCAAUAAACAAUUCCUAGUGAUGUCACCAGUGGUCACUGCUUUGGUUUGAGAACAUGGAUUAGUAAUGAACGACGCUAAUAAGUUGUGUUGUAUCUCAAGUCAAGUUUAAAUCUGUCUCUUACAAGUACGCUGACUUUAUGGAGGUGACAUUUUAAAACAUUUGCUGCCCUUCUGAAAGUGAGCAGUCACUUGUAAAAAGAUUUUGUCAUUGGAAAAACAUUUCACUUUCACUUUGAUUGAUGCCUGUCUGUCUGGCAUGAUUCCUCUUAGUUGAAACCACUAAACUAAUUCAGAUUCCUUUCAAAACAUUGUACUAAUUGCUGCAUAUUCUUACAAUUUGUCCGGUGGUUCCGUGCUUGACAAGCAAUACCUCUUCCAUUACUGUAAGAAGAUGGAGGACCUGAAGAAUCGUAUCUUUAGUAUGCAUCCCAGUCUCGGAUUUUAAACGUGUAAAUGCUUUACACAUUGGUUGUCAUUUGGAAAGCCCAUUAGCAAAAGAAAAAAUGUCUAUAGUUACGGAUAAUGUUAUUGUCACCUUAUCGCCUUAAGAUAAAAAAGUGUCAUAGCUGUAAGAUUAUAUAACACAUUCUCAGCCAUUAACUGUGUAAAGAAGAAUCAGUCGCAGUGACAUCACAAAGAAGAGGCGUCUCCGACUGAUAGCCGUUAGAAAGAAUGUCUGAGGCACUUCAGGCUUCGCUUUUCUGAACUGGAGAUGUGUUAACAUUGUUUUCUUUUUUUUUACAAUUGUUCUCACAUAAAUGCUUCAAAUAAAGUGAUGGCUGGCCAAUGUAUUGCUUUGCAAGGGAAUGAAGUAAAUUUAAGCCCAUUAAUAAUGUAUAGACUAAAAAGUCCCAAUUUAUGUAGCUUCAUCAAAUUCAGGCUACGUUUUGGUCUCUUGGGCUGAAAUCCAUGAAUACAACCAGACUAGAUAAGGUUCCAUCUGCACCCGUUUUUUGUUUCAAUGUAUUACAAUGGGGAUUCAGCUGUGACUGCCCAUGGCUCCAGAUGACUCUGAGGCAGCCUGCAGUACGUGGAUGGGUUAGAGAACAACAAUAGUGUGACCUAUUAAUCCAGCUCUGAACGAUCGUGUUCCUGCUCUUUACAAAGCAACGAGACAGACUUUCUUUUUCAUUCUCCUGUUUAAUUUUCGGCAUAUUAUUAUAUUAGAUACAUAAACCCUUGCAGAAUUAGCAUGGCUCCGUUCAAAUGGCUUCAUUGCUGUGACAAACUAGGCCAUGAGCCAAAACAGUUGAACUGCCUAAUUUGAAACAACCUUUCGUCUGAGUGAUGGAGUCCUUCACCAUCACAUUAUCUACUGCCAGAGUAGAAAGCGAUUACUUCAUUUCAAAUGGAGAAGAUGUCUCUAUUUGUGCUCUUAUCUCUAGUUGGAAGUGCACUCAGUCAGAUAUAAGACAUGUCAGUCAUCUCUGUGCACCAAUCAACAUUUGGCAACAUUUGAAUCAGACUUAGACAGUUGUAGGCUUGUUUGCUCAGAUGUUGCCAGGCCGCUGUCAAACAAGUCCGAUCAGACCACCGCCACAGGGUUUUUCAUAAACAAGGAGUUUAAAUAAACACAAACUCUAACCUUGAUUGGUACUAAUAAAUAUUCCAAAGGGUGGAAGGAAGACAAGAAAAUCUCUAUCCAUCUGGGUUAGUGCGAAAAACGCCUCCAGCUGUUACUGAUGUCCUCUGUGUUUCUGGGCCGCAGCUACAAAAUCGAUACUUCUCCCAUAUACCAGUGACGUGACAGCAUAUACUUGAUAUACAGAAGAGCCAUAAACACUUUCAGCUUGGAUUUUUGGAUCUAGCCGGGGCCGUGCUCUUAAGGCUGCUCCAAAAAAGAAUUCCUUUUUUCUGUGUCGCAAACUAGUUAUGCUUGGAGCAAUUAUGUCAAAAAACAUGAAUGCAGAGGAAGUAAUGGACAAUUCCACUUUACUGACUUUCAGCACGUAGUUUUGGUUGGAUACUGUCGCUGAUCCCGCCUGUGUGUUUGUGUGUGUGUUUUCUAGGCCUUAAAGAUAAAACCAGAAAUGACAACCAAGACUGGCAGGGCUGAGAGAGCAUGUCACCCACCUGCUAACUAGGUUGCUAUCUAACUAACUAAUGCAUGCUGGUACAUGUGGGCACUGCUCGCCCCCCCUCCACCGCAGUCCCGCUGGAGAGAAACCACCUUGGUCAGUCGACAUAACGCGCACCGUGGGAUGCAUUGCUUCAGUGGAAUACAUUUACCGUCAACGCCAAGUGGAGAUCCACAUCCAAAUGUUCAUCUUCAUGAUUUCGGCUAAUACUAAAAAUAUACCUUCAGAGUUUUGUCCUCUGUAAAGUCUUUUAAAUGUAAGUGUUGUGGGGAAAAAAACGUUAUCUGAAGCUAAUAAAAAAUGCCCGAUAUGUUUCAAAGUUUGCGUAUCUCUGGACAGCAUUUUGUGCUGAACACCAGUGGUUGAAUCAUAACUCAAAGAGUGAAUUUUCUAUUAAAAAAGAUCAUAACUAAAUACUAACUUAAGGUUGCUGCUUCUGCAGCCUCACAUUAUCUCCAGUUAACCUUUAGAACACAUUCUUGCAGAGAACAAAGAACACCGAUUUGUUUCCCCAUCACUUAAGUUAGAAGCACAUUAAAGGGAAUCCCUUAAUGGUCAUUAAGAACAGGAGGAAGGAUUACAGCCCGUAACAAUGUCCACAUGCGCACCUGACUUUUGUUUUAAGACAGACUGAAUCAACCCUCUAGAGACACAGGGAGAGGAAAAUGAUUUUUUUUUAUUCUGUGUUAAUACCCUUUUUUGAGGCUGUUUUAUCAUAAUACCUGUAUUUUCUAUUCUUGUAAAAUGCAGAAAUUUCUUUGGUGAUCCAUCUUGAACUCGGGAAUAUGAAUGUAAAUCUUUCUCUUUAAAUGGGAUUUGAAGCUAAUCGCAAUGCCUACAUUGUGAAGCAGCACUUGACCAUCAGCAGGGUCAAAGUUACAUGCAUAGUGGUGUCACAACUACUGAUUGUGGGUUAAGGCCCACAGAUUUAUAGCUCGAAGCUACUGAAAUUGCAAAAUAAUGUUAUGAAAUGUUAGCCAAAGACACAGUACCUCCAGUUUUACUGUGACUUUUGUGUGAGAUCAAGUUUCCGGUCGCUUGGAAUAAGUAGGUAAAUGCAUUUUUUUGGUGUGUGUCAUAUUAAGAAUGACAGAAAUGGUGUUUAAUUUACGCUCAGUAUCUUUUCAACCAAAAUGAUGUGUGGUACCAAAAACCCUGCAGCCUUAUGCCAAGUUUGAUGGGAACAAGAGGUGAAUAGCCAUGUCCAGCAUGCACAUCUGUAGAAUUGAGUUGCAUGGACACAAAUACUGAAUACGUGUGUAUCUAUGUGGACGGUAACUUCAAAACAUGCUAAUCGAUAAUGCUGUGGACUGGAUUUCAAUGCAAGAACCCGUGAGAUGAUCGAGAAGGAACCAAUGACUCCGCAGUGCUGCAGUUCUGUGACGAGGCAACGGUUGGCAAGGUGCAAAACACUUCUCCAUUAACACCUUCACACAAGGCCUGUCACUUUAAUGAAGGGCUACCGCGCCAGGCUGUGCCACACGCUAGUCUGUGACACACGCCGGCCCGUACUGUAAACUCGGUCUGUCACUUUAAUUUAACCUUGCUGAAUUGCUUCGCAAGAUAUUUUCCUCAGACCGAUUUUUUGUCUGACGUGUGAUGGGCUAGUUAAUUAAGACAGUGACAUUAUUAAAGCCAGGACUGACUGCGGCAUGUUUUUAUUAAUUCACCAUCUGACCUUUCCUCUGGAUUCAGCACCUGAUACCUUUACAAUUACUGUAUCGCCCAGCGGAAACGUUCAGUGGUGAGGUAGAAAACAAGGAUUCAGCUGUUCAAAUUCCCACACCUAAGCUGCCCUGAGUUUUCAGUUGUGUGUCCCAUAACGUGUUCGUAAAAAACACUGCUGCUCAACCGCUGUAUACACAUGCAGACAUUUCUGUACGGAAAGCAAUAAAGCAAAUGUGCAAGAUUUAAGCAUUUCGUUUGAAUAUUACUUUCCAGAAAUGGCCAAAACUUUAAAUAGCACAGGAAUGACAUUUACAGAAAUACAAAAAAAUAGUUUGAAAAGUAAUUUCCUACAAGUACAGCUGGGCUUGAAGAGCUCAAAGCCCGUCAUAUUAGGUAGAUGGCAUUAUUUUUUCUUUUUUAAAGGAAAAGAAAAGCCUGAUCGUUAAACAAUAUGAGGCCUGCGGCAGUAAACCUGCGAACCAUUGAGGGAAACGAUGACGGACCACGCUGCUGGGAUCGGCCCAAUCUCAUGGCUUUGCACUCAGACAAAAGUCAUGGAAUUACAGUUUUUCAUCAGGUGUAGCUGAGCCAACAUUUAGACACCUCGUCACAUGAGCAGAAACAUUGCUAUGUUAAUCUACCUGUGAAUUUUCUGGAAUUCCCCAAAAUUGGUGUCAUUUCACCACAGGUAAUCGCUCGAAAUUGGUGCGUUUUAAGCAUAAAGUGUUGUGGGAUUAUGAAAAUUUUGGAGCAACAAUUAUUGGUUUACAAUCCUUGAUUGCUAGCUAUAACCUGCAUUUAUAUCAACAACUGCAGAGGUACAUCCAACUGAGCAAAAUCUGUAGCUUCAGCACUGCCUCUUGUGAUGGAAGGUUUUUCACAGACAAUCGGAAAAUAAGAAUAAAGGCUCUGAAUCGAUUAUGUCUUUCUCCGUUUAUUUCCUUGCAGGGGGAAAAAAGGUACGAGCUACGUGCUCAGUAGACUGACAAGAACAUCUUUUUCUUGCAACAGGGCAAAGCAGUUCUCAUCCCUCAGUUCAGUUACAGGUGACAUCAACAGAAACUCGCUUAUAUCCAACACAUGUGAACCAACUUGUUGUUACACUACAGCCAGGAGAGCGGGGACAUCUCAUCAGCGUGAGACACUUCCGCUCAAUUCUUUCCCAUGGCCUCACCAUCCCAGCACUUCCAAUUUAUGAACUGCUCGUACAAUGUAAAGCCUCUAUGAAAAAAGCACUGCACAUUCAUUUGUUUGUUAAAUCACCUUUUAACCUUGAACCGCCUUGAUCUGAACUACACACACAAUUUGACGAGCAAGCAACACCCGUAAAAUGCCUACCGAAUCACCCAGAGCACAGUUUCAACCUGCAAAAGAGCAGUGGAGCAUGUUGUGUACUGCGCGAUACAAUUAAAAAAUUCUCUCUUUUCACAAACAUGAAGUGAGAUUUUGCCGCAGGCCACAAGCCCCCCCCUCCCUACGGGCUUGGACCCUAACCUCUUUACAGACUCCACAUGAUAAAUGGUGGAGUGUUUUCAUGAGUGUGAAAACACUGAAAUGGUGUUAAUUUAUUCCAUUUAUUCAACACAUUUUCUCCCUGAUUUGAAUGUCUCGUACGCUCUUUUUUACACAACAUGAGACGUUUUUAAAUAAUUUAUUUGAUUGUUUUGUCAGUUUCAAUGACAAUGAAAUAUUUGAUUAAAUUAUUCUCUGAAAUAUAUCUUCUGCCGGCUUCCUUCGGAUUUCAUGUUCCAUCUUUAGUCCUUUAUUUGUCUAAUUAAAUGUAAUUGGCAGGCUGAUCAACCACAUGCCGUCAUCUUUCUUUACUUCUCCAUUCUUCCACUCACAGCGCCGUGUUUUAAUGCCACCUUGCUACAAAAGGAGGGUAAUUCCCACGAGUAAAGCCUGCACAAAGGCUCAAAAUGUCUUUCGAGAGAGCAACACAUGGUCUGACAGUGUUGGAACCCUAAACCUUGGGAUCGGGCCUUUGACUCGUCCCAAAGGCACAGGUGUAAAAGUGAUAGAAUAAAAAAGGCUGCUUCGGUUUCAGGGUCCUGAUGACUUACUUUGGUUACAUGAACAGAGCCAUGAUUGAUGUAAUUAGUCACAUGUGUUUCCUACUCUGUCAAAAUAUCCACUGUGAACGUUGCCUGCUAAACAUCUAAACUGUCAAGGGGAAAGGAACUUACCUCUUAUCUAAGUAAAAGGAACAGUAGCACAAUGCAGAAGCAAUGUCACACCAUUAAAGUUCCUAAACCUUUGAAAAUUAUAUCAAAUUAUGUGUAGCCUUUUGGAAAUUUGUUGCUCUUAGGGGGAAGUCAUCACAGACGGGCUCUUUACCGAGGCUCUACGGACUGUUUAACAUCUCUUAAUAGGCCGCUGUUUUUUGGCCUCGGCUCCGAAAAUGGCACACCCAUGAUAAAAAGUGUAAUAACUCUGGAAAUACCUUGUCUAUUUGUACAAUUAUUUUGUGUGGAUAAUGGGGGAAGCCCUGCGAGUGCUAUGAUGUGUAGAAAAUAUAUAGAAUAUAUAUAUAUAUAUAUA
ensembl:lncRNA